rnacentral:rRNA from 1 species
GGCCUGCCCACUGAGGAUUUAAAUGGCCGCGGUAUUUUGACCGUGCAAAGGUAGCAUAAUCAUUAGUUUUUUAAUUGAAAGCUAGAAUGAAAGGUUGGAUGAGAAAAUGACUGUCUCUAUUUAAAUUAAUUAGAAUUUUAUUUUUAAGUAAAAAAGCUUAAAUUAUAGUAGAAGACGAGAAGACCCUAUAGAGUUUUAAUUUAAUUGGGGUGAUUAAAAAAUUUAGUUAACUUUUUUUGUAUUUGAACAUAAAUUUAUGAAUAUUUGAUCCUUGAAUUAAGAUUAAAAGAAUAAAUUACCUUAGGGAUAACAGCGUAAUUUUUUUAUAGAGUUCAAAUCGAAAAAAAAGAUUGCGACCUCGAUGUUGGAUUAAAAUAAAAUUUUGGUGUAGGGGCUAA